GGGAAAUGGGAAGAGGGGCCAGCCUCAGGUCCCGUAACAAAGUGGGGCG
rfam:Macaca mulatta chromosome X, whole genome shotgun sequence.